AGGACCUGCUGCCCUGCUGCCCUCCUGAUAGUUAUUUUUGUCCAACUAGCUUUGUUGCAGUCCCACGCUUCAUCCUAAUAGGAAUGGACUUCAGAGCGGCACUCAUCCUCCUGCCAAUCAUUUUUAAAGAGAGUGUGAAUCAUCACAUCAUAAUGGGAGAGGAUGAACCCAACACACCGUAUCCAGUUGUCCAGGUGACCCAAGAAGACUGGAAGUCUGCGUUUGAGGGACAAAGCCUCUGCUCACUUAUGGU